CCCUCUUCUUCUCAAGAUCCCCCACAGAGAUCCCAACUCUUUGAGAUUUUCCCCCUUUCUUGUUCUUUCUAAACUCGAAAUUACCCAACCCCUAACCCUAAUAUCUUAAGACCAUAAUCCCUCUUCUUCUCAAAGAUCAACUGGAUCAAAUCCUCAAUUCUAAACCCAUUAUAGAACAUCGGUUUUUGGAUAAAAUCUACCCUAAUCCGUGGCGAAAUCAAGCUCGCCAUCUGAAUCAGCAACGGGGAAGGAUGACUUGUGAGUAUCAACUUACUAUUUUUUUUUUAAGUGUAUACGUUUCCUCCCCUGUUCUUUUGACUUCAGAGCCUGCACGUGUUAUUUGUGGUGGGCGAAGUUGCAGCGGUUUGUUCAGUACAGAACAAUUUAACUGGGCGACACAGGCAAGGGUGAUUGUGAUGUAUCUAGAGAUAGAAGAAUAUGCGUGAACGUACGAGGGUAUUAUGAAUUUAUGGAAAAAAAACAUAUGAGGCCUAAACAUAGGAAUGCUUAUGGAUCUUCUAAUUCAAAAACUUUAUCAGAGUUGGAGCAAUUGUAUCGAACCGAGCAACAAUUCUACUACUCAUUCAUCACUUUGAUUUGGCUAAUGGAAAAUUCCUUUUCAAGGAUAGUCAAACAGGGGGAAAAAACAAGCAUAUACAUUUCAUGUGAAAUAGGUGCAAAAGCAAACUAGAUUCAAGGAUGAAAGGGAGAAACCCGAACCUAAUCGCGACACAACUAAUAGGAUUUGGAGUACCUACUUCAACAAGUAGCAAUAGAAUGAUUACAAAAGUGGUUGAGAAUAUCUUGAACAUUUAUUUGAUAAACUAGUUGGGUCAAAGAAAAAAUCUGAUAUGCAUGAUUUGGUGAUGCUCCAAAUACUUUGCCAACUUACAAUGAUAACGACUCCAACUGCAAGAAUGAACAUACCAGGACAUAUAUUCAAGUAUUUGACUAGUAUAGAUAUAAUAGAUAAUUUUUCAUUGGAAACUAUAAUAUACAAUGAAAUGUGGGAUUCACUAAGUAACAUAUGAUAUUUACUAGUCUAUUAUUUUUUUGUGACGCAUGUUCCUUAACUGUGAUGCGUAGUCAUUAUCGGUGACAUUUGCUCAAUUUCAUUGACUUUCAUACAUUGGUUGUGGUAGAUACUCAUGUUUUGUGAUGAUUUAUCAUUUUCUGUGAGCCUUAUAACUUUACUGUGAUGCCUAGACAUUAUCUGUGAUUUUUUUGUAUUUCCUGUGACUGUUACACAUUAAAUGUGAUAUAUAACCAUUUUCUGUAACAUCUUGUUUAUUUGUUGUGACAGUUAUGUGUUAACUGUGAUACUUAAUCGUGUUUAUAACUUCUGUUAAUUAUAUAUGACCAUUAGUUUACCUCGUUUCUUUUUAGAUAUAAUUGUGACAUACACACAUAUUUAUACAUUAAAGCGAUUCUAGAAGAAAAGGAGGUGAUGGAUAUUGAAACUUGUCAAAAAGAGCCUGAAAUUUUAAAGGCAAGACUUGUUGUUCAACUUUAAUGUGAAGGCCGAAAAUUGAAGAAUCAACAAUUAUAAUUAGAUACAGAUGAUUCAGAAUAUCUUUUGUAUUUUGGAGGCAAUGAUGUAUCAAUGAUUUGAGUGAAAGUAUUAGACAACUCGUGUCACAUGACUCUAUGUUGG